CUCCGCUCACCCUCCAGCUC
rnacentral:misc_RNA from 1 species